AUGAAAACCAACGGAGUCAGAGUCAGAAUAUCAUUGCUUUGUUGGAGGAUCCGUAAGAGGAUCAGUCAUAUCAUUUCUUUCACUAGAUUCACAUCUCUACGUAGUAGUAACUCGAUAGGCUCGAUAGAUAGUUACGGGGGUGACACACAGUGAUUACCCCGCCUCCAAUAGUCUAGUUAUUUCACAGUCACCAAAUCCGAGGAAAUACGCCUUUGUUUAGAAUCCCUGAUAACGCUUGUACCGCGGAUUUACAAUCGAAGGGGUGUCUCCGUAGUCCGUUAUCUGUCUACCAGCCGUCUACCAGCAAGUACAUCCCACUCUAGUCUCGUACUCGAUCACACUUUCGCCAGUUAAGUAGAUAGCAUUUCGGACAUGUAUCAAAAUUAUUCAGUGAUUCACCGGACUGCAGCUGUCACGAGUCGCGGAUGAUCCCGUCACAUCACUGAUUUUCACUAUUGGCGGUUACGACAGUCCUAUCAGGUUAUUUUGUCUGAUUAAUUUGAUUUAUGGUUAUCGAUUCACAGGUUGACAUUUCCCGACGCGUCCCGUCACGUUUCUGUCGCUCUCGGAUUGGGUCUUGUUCGAUAAGGAAAAAUGUCAUUUGAUCGAUCUCCGACGAUUAGUAUCUUGACUACGUAGUCAGUGGACGAUUCCACGGAGUUAUCAAUGGUUAUCUACGUAGUACAUAUUAUGGUAUUAUGUACGUUAUACUCUGAGUAUAGAGUAUCAGACUACGAUUGUGCAACCACCAUCUCCGGGCGCUUACACGGCGUGAUGUGCCUCUGUCUCGGUGGCCAGUCACAUCCGCCACAGUCAGUCACGGUCAAUGAUUGAUUCGAUUCGAUUUAUUUGUCAGUAUGUAUGUGAACAGACGGGAUGAUUCGAAAUUCAAAAGAUAGCUGCUCGCAUAUUGCCUAGAAUCAAAAGAUUAAAGAUUCAUUCAUAUACUCCGUGGCUCAUAUAGUUUCCUAAAAUGGAAAGUCGACUACGUCUCUUCACACUCGGUACACUCCGUACCGUCGCGAUAAGACUGGUCUGUCGGUCGACCUUUCUGCUUGUGAUAGUUGUGACUCAUGGUAGCAGCGACAACAUGAAUUAGUUAGUUACGCUCGGUUUACCAAAGAACAGGGCGGUCGCAUCACAUCGCAUCGUGUUGGGCCACCACACACACACACACACACACACACACACACACACAGCCCAGGCAGGUUUUCAACCAAACAACAAGGACGACGAAUAUCGAGAUGUCUUGACGUGGCUCAGAGUCAAAGUCAAGACUCAGACUCGGCUUCACCGCCAGGAUGUUUUGAUAGGGAUCAAGGAUUAGGGUUAUCGGGCAGCCCGUCAUGUCAUACUUGCUGCAUGCAAGUACGUAUUUCAGGCAUCCAUCGCUAUCUUUACGGUUUGUGCCAUCCAAGAUACGUGCAUGCUGUUCGAAGUAUAUUAUCGAUGACUUGUUUUAACCACACGUAGUAACUUCGAUCUUGAUUAAGUGUGAUGAUUCAUCGAUGGAUAGUUAACGAUCACAAGACAGCAACAAUAACGACAGUAACAUCAACAACAACAACAACAACAACAACAACAACAACAACAACAACAACAACCGCGGUCGGCGCCUCGUAUUUUGCAUGUGCUGGGUUGUGCCUUGUUUGUAGCGUGUGUUGUCAACUCAUCAGCUUCGUAUCGGAUACUAUCUGUCUCGACGCGAAAGUAUGACUGAUAUCCGGCGCACCCGUUGCAUUUCUGACUGUCGCGAACCAAACUCUCACCGAUCAACUUGAUUUUGUUGAGUCACCUUCUUUCCUCUUACAAUCAGAGUCAGAUUAACCGUCAGACCGUCGGCAAAAUACAUACGAAGUUUUACAACUAUCCGAGCUGAGCAUUGCCGACAUUACUACGGUCGGUAGACGAUGUAUCGAGUUCCUCGAUUCAAAGGAACGAUUACGCGCGUAAGACUGGGGAUAGUAAUAACUACUGUCCGAAAUAUCGCUUGUUCAUUGUGAUGUAAACUACUACGUACGUAUUUUGUGGCUGUCGUGGAGUGUCGGGAUUCCGUGCGGUAUUGGCGAUUACAUACGCUGAAACGGCGUUACGCAAUGCUAAUUUACAACAAAAUUACGAAUUUAUCCAGGUUCACACUCUUCGUUUGUAUAUACGGGGCGG
rnacentral:lncRNA from 1 species